UACGUAGGGCGCAAGCGUUGUCCGGAAUUAUUGGGCGUAAAGAGCUCGUAGGCGGCUUGUCACGUCGGGUGUGAAAGCCCGGGGCUUAACCCCGGGUCUGCAUUCGAUACGGGCUAGCUAGAGUGUGGUAGGGGAGAUCGGAAUUCCUGGUGUAGCGGUGAAAUGCGCAGAUAUCAGGAGGAACACCGGUGGCGAAGGCAGAUCUCUGGGCCAUUACUGACGCUGAGGAGCGAAAGCGUGGGGAGCGAACAGG
rnacentral:rRNA from 1 species